rnacentral:rRNA from 1 species
AGCAGCCGCGGUAAUUCCAGCUCCAAUAGCGUAUAUUAAAGUUGUUGCAGUUAAAAAGCUCGUAGUUGAAUUUCGGAAUCUGUCCGUCGGUCGGGCUUCACUGUCCGUACUGGUGUGAUGGGUUUCUACCUUCUGAAUAACCGGCAUGUCAUUAAUUUGGUGCGCCGGGGAAGCAGAACUAUUACCUUGAAAAAUUAGAGUGCUUAAAGCAGGCUAUCGCCUGAAUAGAUUAGCAUGGAAUAAUAAAAUAGGACGGCAUGGUUCUAUUUUGUUGGUUUCUAGGAUCACCGUAAUGAUUAAUAGGGAUAGUUGGGGGCAUUAGUAUUCAAUUGUCAGAGGUGAAAUUCUUGGAUUUAUUGAAGACUAACUUCUGCGAAAGCAUUUGCCAAGGAUGUUUUCAUUAAUCAAGAACGAAGUUAGGGGAUCGAAGACGAUCAGAUACCGUCGUAGUCUUAACCAUAAACUAUGCCGACUAGGGAUCGGACA